UACGUAGGGGGCAAGCGUUGUCCGGAAUCAUUGGGCGUAAAGCGCGCGUAGGCGGCCCUGUAAGUCCGUUGUGAAAGUCAAAGGCUCAACCUUUGAAAGCCGAUGGAUACUGCAAGGCUAGAGUACGGAAGAGGCGAGUGGAAUUCCUGGUGUAGCGGUGGAAUGCGCAGAUAUCAGGAGGAACACCAAUAGCGAAGGCAGCUCGCUGGGACGUUACUGACGCUAAGGCGCGAAAGCGUGGGGAGCGAACAGG
rnacentral:rRNA from 1 species